AUUCCCUCCCUCACUGCUCCACUCAGUCCUCUCCUCAUGGUGACAUAUCAACACUACUCAACCCAUAUAUCCCCUCCACCACUCCAGUCAGCCUUAUAUCAGCAUUAAAAACUUAAAGAAAGACAUAAAGUAAAAAAUAUAUUAUCUUCGAUCGAGUUUCAAAGAAACAAUUGGUAUGUUUUGAGGGAUUAAUUUGCAAUCACAUCAGAUUUAUUUAUAACUAGACAGAGACGGAGCUUUGUUUAGGAAGAUACAUACAUUUGCUCUAGAAAUCUUAAGUCAAAGAAAUCAAUUUGGGCAUAUAGUUUAACCAAUCUUUGAUAUACGAUGCUUGGAAUUUCUACUUGCAGAUGUAAACGAAACACGAUACACAUGAGAAUGGUAACACACAUUUAUGACUGUUUCUGUAUUCGUGCUACUCGUUUUGAUCUCCUUUGUUAGUUUUUUAUCAUACUGUGGUGCAUAAGCAUUGAAUGAAAUACAUAUGUAGGAGUUAAGGCUUAGCUGUACUCAUGAAGGCUAGUUACAUGUCAUUGCAGAUUUAUUUAUAACUAGACAGAGACGGAGCUUUGUUUAGGAAGAUACAUACAUUUGCUCUAGAAAUCUUAAGUCAAAGAAAUCAAUUUGGGCAUAUAGUUUAACCAAUCUUUGAUAUACGAUGCUUGGAAUUUCUACUUGCAGAUGUAAACGAAACACGAUACACAUGAGAAUGGUAACACACAUUUAUGACUGUUUCUGUAUUCGUGCUACUCGUUUUGAUCUCCUUUGUUAGUUUUUUAUCAUACUGUGGUGCAUAAGCAUUGAAUGAAAUACAUAUGUAGGAGUUAAGGCUUAGCUGUACUCAUGAAGGCUAGUUACAUGUCAUUGCAGAUUUAUUUAUAACUAGACAGAGACGGAGCUUUGUUUAGGAAGAUACAUACAUUUGCUCUAAAAAUUACUAUUAUACUUUUCUGACCACUCGUAUCGAUACCUUUGCUAUGGCCUACAGAUAUUCAUGCCCACGACGCGUGUGAAAAAAGUCCCAAGUGAGAAUGGGGUGUCAAUGAAUUGAACUUACUCUAUUAUCUUUCUAAAGACUUGAGAGACAUCGAGCACCAUCUUUGUUUGGCUGUACUGACAAGAAUGAGUAAUUUGUUUCAUGUCUACUUAAUUUUAUCUUGUAUCUACAAAUUUUUGGAUGUUGACUUGCAUGUUGAGAUUGUUAAUAACUUGGAAAGUUUAUAGUUGAUAGAUUGGAUCAAACCUUUUCAAUUUUAGAUUUCUGACA